ACGAACGCUGGCGGCAGGCCUAACACAUGCAAGUCGAACGAGAAGCCACCUUCGGGUGGUGGAAAGUGGCAGACGGGUGAGUAACGCGUGGGAAUCUACCCAGUGGUACGGAAUAACCCAGGGAAACUUGGGCUAAUACCGUAUGUGCCCGAAAGGGGAAAGAUUUAUCGCCAUUGGAUGAGCCCGCGUCUGAUUAGCUAGUUGGUGGGGUAAAAGCCUACCAAGGCGACGAUCAGUAGCUGGUCUGAGAGGAUGAUCAGCCACACUGGGACUGAGACACGGCCCAGACUCCUACGGGAGGCAGCAGUGGGGAAUAUUGGACAAUGGGCGAAAGCCUGAUCCAGCCAUGCCGCGUGAGUGAUGAAGGCCCUAGGGUUGUAAAGCUCUUUCGGCGGGGACGAUAAUGACGGUACCCGCAGAAGAAGCCCCGGCUAACUUCGU
rnacentral:rRNA from 1 species